rnacentral:rRNA from 1 species
ACUCAAAUGAAUUGACGGGGGCCCGCACAAGCAGCGGAGCGUGUGGUUUAAUUCGACGCAACGCGCAACACCUUACCAAGGUUUGACAUCCUCGGAACCGGGCUGAAAGGUCUGGGUGCCUGCAAGGGAGCCGAGAGACAGGUGCUGCAUGGCUGUCGUCAGCUCGUGUCGUGAGAUGUUGGGUUAAGUCCCGCAACGAGCGCAACCCCCGUGGCUAGUUACCCUGUGUCUAGCCAGACUGCCGGGACCAAACCGGAGGAAGGUGGGGAUGACGUCAAGUCAGCAUGGCCCUUACACCUUGGGCGACACACACGCUACAAUGGCCGGGACAGUGGGCAGCCAAGCGGUAACGCGGAGCCAAUCCCCCAAACCCGGUCUCAGUUCAGAUCGUGGGCUGCAACUCGCCCACGUGAAGGCGGAGUUGCUAGUAACCGCGGGUCAGCAGUACCGCGGUGAAUAUGUUCCCGGGCCUUGUACACACCGCCCGU